AGGGCCAAAUUAACUCUUUUAGAACCAUUAAUAGCAGAUUUUUUACCCGUUGAAGAUUUUUUUUGAGGAUUAUUUAAAGUAGCUUUCCCUUUUUUCUUCAAAUAUCUCUGAUUUUCCUUAAUCAAUUCCUCCUCUGUUGAACUCGCCUCCAGACCUACUAACGAUUGAAAUCAUGAUCCCAUAAUUUUCUCCCCUUUAGAAUUGUUUCUUUUUUUAUCCCAUCCAAGGUUUCGCAUCUGCUCCUCUGCUCCACCAGCAUCCAGACACCAUAAUCCUUAUCUACAGCAACCACAAAAGUUGUAGAGGUUUGUUCCAACAUCUUUCCUUUCUCUUUCACCUCUAAAAAAUGUGUGACAAACGGACAGGCUCCUUGAUGUAUCCAUAACAACCACACUUAAAGCAUACCACAGAGGACUGAUUAUCGUUCUUGAAUGAGUUAAGCGUGUAGAAGUCACCGUUGCUCGUGAAGGUUCCGGAGUGCUUGGGGUGAUUUUAUGUAAAAAAUGACCAGGUGUUUACUCUAAUUGCAUAGAAAACGAUAGUCGACGAAAGCUGAAAAAGCGUUCUGUCAACGCUACACUGGUGUGUGGUCGCCUGUGUGGUAGGCCGUGUGGCAGUAUACGGGAGUGUGACUGACGAACCAGGCCGUGCGCGCGUAACACAGGCGUGAUAGACAUAACCAUGUGAGGACUGGUGAGGCCGUGUGCGAGACACGGGCUCGGCCAUUUGGGCCCUGUGGUCCACACAGACAUGUGGGUCACACAAGCGUGUGAAAAUUCGAGCCAAGCCAUGUGGAAAUUUGGGCCGUGUGGUCCCACACGGGCAGGCCACAUGGGCGUGUGAGCCCAUUUUUCUGCAAUGUUCUGUAAGGUUGCACGGGUCACCCAAGUCGACUGUGACGUGUCGUAGGGUAAUCCCCAACAGUAUAUGGAUCAGUGCAGCGAAGGACUCGAUGGUGGCCACAUACUUUUGGACGAUUUUAAAUUCAAUUUUGGUAUUUCUUUCUUAAUUAUUUCCUGGGUUAAUGUUAAUGUAAUUUGAGGACUUUAUGGACUUUAGUUGGAUAUUUAAAAUGGUUUACGGGAUUUUAGCUUAAAACUCGGUUUUAAAUCAAAUGAAACUAAUUUUUAAA